UACAUAUAUAAAGCAAGAAACAACAUGCUCAAUCAGCCACAAGUGAAGAAACAACUUGCUGAUACAUAACCACAUGACAUGAAAAUUUCAUGCAAAUAACUAGUAAUUAUAAUGGAGUCACACUAGAAGCUGCUGCAAAAUGAGUUGGUGUCCAGAACUCUUAUUUCUAGCAAGCAACUGGCUCUCUCUCAUUUAUUCUAACUCACUAGUUGAGAUGGACAGGUGGAGUUCAGGGCUUCUGGGGUGGAUUGUAGUAUGGGGGAGGCUUCUUCUUAUAUGGAGUUGGAGGAGGAGGAGGUUUCUUCCCUUCUGGCUUUUGUGGGGGUAGAGGAGCCUUGAUUGGAGGAGGGUGUUUAGGGUAACUAGGUGUGAUUGGUUUCACAACAGGAGGUAGAGUUGGUGUCUUAGGAUAAGGUGGUGGAAGUGGCUUGGUCACCGGCGUAGGUGGCGGUGAAUGUACAAUAGGAGGCUGAGUGCUUGGUGGUUUGCCAUAAGGUGAGGAUGGUGGUGGCCUCACCACUCUAGGAGGCAGAGUUGGUGGUUUGGGUUUGGGCACUAUUGGUGGUGAUGGCUUGUUAUAAACUGGGGGUGAUGGCUUCUUGAUGGGAGCUGGGGGCUUGUAAAUAGGAGAAGGAGUUGGUGGUUUGGGUUUGGGCACUAUUGGUGGUGAUGGCUUCUUGAUGGGAGCUGGGGGCUUGUAAAUAGGAGAAGGAGUGGGUGGCUUGGGUUUUUCAUUGUACUCAGCUAGAGAUGAAGUGAUGAGAACCACCAGGCCAAACAAUAGCACAAGCAACUUUGAGUAACUCAUGGUGUUUGUGUUUUUGUGAUGGUAUAAGAUCUAGACGGCAUCGUUUGCUAUUUAUAGUGCUCUCAGGCCUGUGUCGGCAAUACGUGUCAAAAGAUCUUGGUCAUUUUGUUUCAUAGUUAACAGUCAAGGAUUUUCAAAUUCAUGAGAAGAAAAGUACGAUUUUUUUGGCUGAAUAAAAGUUUAGAAGAGGGGAGGCUACACCAUCUUAGAGUUAGGACAUAUCAAAGUUUUCUUGAGGAUUUACAGAGGGGGUUUUAGUCUUUUUUUUUUGUUUUUACAGAUUAUCCCCCAAAAAGAAUUUUCGGCAACAGAACCCGAAUCUAAGUCUUGAUAGCAAAGAGAAUGAUCCUUAUCAACUCAACCAACCCUCGUUGACAGAGAAGUAAGAUUUUCAAUUGGUACGGAUGAUUGUUGAUAUAAGUGUUGUUGAUAGAGAAUCCCAAGUAUAAAUGGUAAAUUCUCUUAAUCAUUUGAGCAACAAAUUCUUUAUAAGUAAUUUGACUGAUUGAUUAUUGAUUGCAAUAAUGGUAAGUGUAAAUAAAAAUUGAGUAGUAUUUAAUGGAAAAUGACAUGACAGUAUUUUACUAGUUGAAAAUAGAACCAAGUUGUCGGUGUAGAUAAAAACAAAUGAUUCAGUCUUCCAAAAUGUGGAGAUUUGAAUUUGUGUUCGUCUAGCAUUAAUCUUUUAAAAAGAUUUUGGAUUUUUAUGUGAAUUUAAGUUAAUUUGAGUCUACAUUAUGCGUUCCAUGGUCUAUAUAAUUUAGACUGGUUUAAUUUUCCACAUUGAAUGACUUUUGUAUGUGGACUUUUCCCCCCAUCUUUCUUUAUUAUUGUCCUCUCCUCCGUUGUCGUUAGUUUUGUCACUUAUCAUCCUUGUGGUGUGAUGAUAAUUGGAAACGAGUGUUUCUAUUCUCGUUUCCCAAGCUAUGUUAUUAAAAUCUAACAUGAUUUGCAAAGGAUUCAUUAGGGUAGUAAUUUGGAGUAUUUAUUUCCUCAGGUAAGUUCUGGGUUCGAGUCGUAGUAUCUGUGUAGUGUGUGAGAGUUUAGCAUGCUAUUGCCCCUCUCAAUAGGAAAGGUCCUAAAAAAAAUCUAACAUGGUUUAUAUUGGUAUCAGGACUCUUCCAAUGGGACUACUGAGGGAACUGAGGCCAAGCCAUUGAUAUGUCAGCUUAGCGUUAAUGAAGAAAUAAAUAUAUUUGCUAACCAAGGUGGUAUGGGACUAGUGUGUAAGUAAAUGCCUUCUUCAUUGGGCUAGACUCUGUUAGCAUUAGGCAUUAAAACUUAAUAUCUCUUCCAACGGUGAAAAAAGAUGUAUCACUGAAUCACUAUAGGUACGGUAUUAUUUCACUUUCAUCUUUUACUAUCUAUUUUCAACGUACUAUAUCACUAUUGGAACAAUGCAAAAUUUCUGGAAUCAAUUAGGGAACAAAGGUGUGAAUAUUAUAUCUCCGUUCCCUUUUGUAAUAAAAUAUGUAUAGAGUUGAGCAAUGGUCACAAAAUUCGUUGCUUUCCAAUAGAUUGCUAUUUCAUUUCUGGUUAAAUCGUCUUGUAGUGGAAAAAACUGAGUCUUCAGCAGCCGCGUUUCUUGAUUUCUCUCAUGGAUUUGGUGAAUUUGAUGGCUGCUUGCGGACCAAUUAGCCGAAGGACAUGUGCUCUCUAUCUAACCCCGUCAUAGUCUGUAUAGCUCUACCUAAAAGGUAAAAAUCAGAGAAAGGAGAGAUCGGACUUGCGACCAAAUAUAUAGUGAGACACAUUACAAGAUUCUUGAAAGAUCUUGAGCCUCUCGAUCUAAAUUGGUUUUGAUUUGGAUGUUCAUAUUUUAUAUUCUAUAUAUAUAUAAUAACGUAAUAUAUUUACUAAUCUUGUUUUUACAGAAAAUUGUUAAGGAUUAUUGCAAAACGAAAGUGUAUUUGUUUAUUUGUUUGGGUUAUUCCCACAAUGUUCAUCCCACCGCCGCGUAUUUUGCUUUCUCUAUAGUGGUUAGGUCCAUUCACGUCAAUAUUAUAUUCAAUCUAAUUUUAGCUUUCAAUUACCAGUGUCCACUCGGUUUUCUUGACGUUUUGAUGUCAUGUAUUGGACCCGAAUAUCGGAUAUCAUCUGUCUCUUCCGCUGAUGAAGGGAUAAAUGCCAUCGAAUCAGAAGAUCUUACUUUUCCAAGGGGGCUUUUCUCUUGUCUCCUCCCAAUCUUCGUCGACUAAGAUCUUACUUUUCUUUUUCUUCUUUUAUAUUUCUACCUUCUUAAUCACUGUACGAAGGGAGAAUUUAUCAAAAAUAGCUAAAAUUUGACUCUUAAUUUCAAAAAUGUUAAUUUUUGUAAAAAUUUCAAUAUAACAGAAAACUCACUUAAAUAGAUACAAAUGUCCUUAAAUUUAAAACUUACAUAAACCUAAAAAAGAAACCUUAUUAAAUAAAACUUUGAAAUAUUUCCUCCAAACACUUUUCCAAUCACCUCUAUUUCUUUUUCUCUUUUUUUUUCCUUCUUCCGUUUGUCUCCAGCAUCACUCCCUCUCUUUUCCUUUUUUUUUUUCUUUCUUCUUCUCUCCACAUAUAUAUAUAUAUAUAUAUAUAUAUAUCUAUCUAUCUAUCUCUCUCUCUCUAUCUCUCUCUCUCUCUCUCUCUCUCUCUCUCUGUGCAUAUCUCUAUUCUUCUUCUCUCCCAUUUUCUCCAAAUAAAAUGUAUGUAUUUAUUUGGCAAAAAAAAAAGUAUUUAGAACCAAAAAUUCAGAAAAUGAUUGAAUCAAUGCACAAGUAUAAUUUCCUCCUCUCACCCAAAAAAAAAUAUUUAUUUCACAUAACUUUAAUUCUUCAAAAACUGUCACAAAUUUAGAGGUAGUCUGUAGAACAAAAAAUUCAAUAAAACGAUCUACAUUAAAAAAAUAUAUAAUUAAAUAUUCAUUCAUUACAAUUCAUAAAGUUAAAGAGAAAAAUAUUACACCAGUCCGUCUAUGAGGUAGGAUGAAGUGCAAUUGAAUUCUUGGAAGUUUGUCAAUAAUGGCCAAUUGAACCACAUCUUGAACACUUACGAGUUGAUGGUUCUUCUCCUCGUGAUGGGAUUCUCUUUUCCUCAAGCCUGCCGUGCCUUCUUCGUGUAAUUGGUGGUAGCACAAUUCUAUCUCGUACAUCAUCAAGCACCACCCAAUCUGUUUGAUCCCCAACUAGCCAUAUAGAUUCUGCAUCCGCAAUUACCAAUGAGUUUGUAGUAUAAUAUUUUGAACACAUUGGGUAGCACGAAAUUUGUCAAUGCGUACAUGCAGCACAAGCAUCUUCUGCUACACAUAUGUCAGAAUCAUCAUAUUACUAGACUCAAUAAUUUUCCAAGCCUAUCAGCACUAACCUUUGAUGCAGGCUCAAAGUGAAUUGACGAUAUUAAAUCAUAGCACUUUGAAUAGGGCUCAAGAGUCCAUUAACAGAAAUGUCGCAACUAUGGACAUUAAGUUAGCAAAACCAGAAUUGAAAUUUUAUAAAUAUAGUAUGAAGAAUAAACGAAGAAACGAAGUAACGAAGAAGAAAUUGAACGAAGAACCAAAGAAGAACAGCACUCUACGUACAAAGAUUCUCAAUCUAAUAGGGUUUUGUUUUUUAGGUUUAUGUUGGUUUUAAAUUUAAGGGUAUUUGUGUCUAUUUAGGUGAGUUUUCUUCUAUAUUUGAAAUUUUUUAUAAAAACUAACAUUUUUGAAAUUAGGGGUCAAGUUUUGGCUAUUUUUGAUAAAUUCUCAUACGAAGGAUUAUCUUUUAGGUGUGAACCUUAAAACACCAUUGGAUGAGAUUUAUGAUUCGUGUAGGAAAAAAAAAUCAAAGGAAGAAUGAGGAGAGCGAUGUUGAAGAAUAUUGAAGUCCCACAUCAGAAACUUAACAAAAUAAUCAAAUACUCCAUAUAAUGAAUGAUUCCACUAUUAAUAAUAUCGAGACUUUUUGUAUAAAAUUUCACAACUGCUAAACAAAUGGUUAAAUUAAAGACAAUAUUGAUAUUAUUAGUAGUGGGUCAUGAGUCCCGAAUAAUUCAAGGGUCAUGAGUCCCGAAUAAUUCAAGGGGAUGGUUUGAAAAAUUCAAUCUAAUUCUGGCUUUCAAUUACUAGUAUCCACUCGUUUUUCCUGAUGUUUUGAUGUCAUGUACUGUUUGAUUUUCAAACUAAUUAUGGGAUGGUUUGAAAAAUCAAACUAAUUAUGGGAUGGUUUGAAAAAUCAAACUUAGAGAAAGCAACCCUUACUGCCUAGAAAAAGAAAAAGGUUAGCCGGCCCUAACUUCUCGUUAAGGAUAAAAAUUUGAACCGGCAAAUCAGUGAACCGGAACCGAAUCUGCAUGAACUGGCUAUAUUUAUAUCUAGUUUUUAAUUUAUUUUUACAGAUGUCUUGUUCUCAUUGUUUUUUUUUUUUGACCUUUCCUAUUGAAAGGGGCGAUAACAUAUUAAACUCACACACACAACACGGAUGUCUUGUUAUCAUUGUUGAUUCUAUACAAUUAGUACAAAGUAAUUUAACAAACAAAGCAAUUUUCUAAAACGGUCCUCCUUUUUUCUCCUUCUAUGGUUUGGUCCUCCUAAUCUAUUCACGGCAAUACUUUGGGCACUGAGGUGAUUGAGCAUAGCCAUUGACAAUAAUACAAUUUAAAGUCUUAAACUCUAUACUUAGCUUAGGGUUAAGUAUUCCAUUAGUGGCAGAAUGUUAAGGCUAAAUAUACGCUAUCUUAAAAAGUCAACCACAAUUAUAUAUGUAACGCACUAUAAAUAUAAAAUGGGGUUAAUGACCUAAAUGGUCUUUCAACUAUUGCUCCAUUAUCAUUUUGGUCCACCAACUAAAAUUUUCAAUUCAAACGUCCUCAAACUUUUUAUUUUGUACCAAGAUGGUCCAUCCGUGACAGAUUCUGUUACUUCUGAUCACGCGAUGGCCACGUGACUGAGUUUUGAAGGGUAUAUGCAACUUUUUGAGAAGCUUUAUCGAAGGGUAUCACUAAAAUGGUCCAUCAACUGUUGCUUCAGUAUCAUUUUGGUCCACCAACUAAAAUUUUCAUUUGAACUGUCCUUCUACUUCUUUUUUUUUUCUUUUUUUUUUGUUAUCAAGAUGGUCCUACUAUCAAAGUCCAUCAAUUUUAUUGUUAUUUAAUUUUGUAUUUAUCUUAUUUUAAAAUUUUUAAUUAAUUUAAACAAUAGAGAAAUAAAUAUUACUUUUUAAGUCCAUGUCAUAAAAUAAAAAAAGCCAUGUUGGUGGUGAGAUUCAAUUUUUUCAAUUUUAAAAUUAGGUACAAGUUCCUAUAAUAGUUUCCUUUAAUUUUAAUUAUUAUUUUCUCUUUUAAAAAAUUUGUUAUUAUAUAUAUGUGAUUUUAAUUAAUUUAAACAAUAGAGAUUUUAUUAUUAAUUGUUAGGUCAGUGUCAUAAAAAAAAAAAAGCCAUGUGGCUAGUGAGAUUCAAAUUUUUAAAAUUUUUUAAGUUUUAUAAUAGUUUCCUUGAUACCAAAAAAAAAAAAAAGAGUUGAAGGAUGGUUCAAAUGAAAAUUUUAGUUGGUGGACUAAAAUGAUACUAGAGCAAUAGUUGGGGGACCAUUGUGAUCAAUAACCCUUUUAGAAGAGGAUACUCACCUAAAAAUACGGUUUUGUCCCUCGAUUUCACGGAAUAAUACACAGACUUUGACAGAUGGACCAUCUUGGUACAAAAUAAAAAGUUUAAGGACGUUUGAAUUGAAAAUUUUAGUUGGUGGACCAAAAUGAUAAUGGGAGCAAUAGUUGGGGGGACCAUUUAGGGUCAUUAACCCAUAUAAAAUCGUUAAGGGUAAUGUUAUACUAGAUCCCGAGUCUAUGCAUUUAGAGUCCACGCAUUUACCCGUAUUUGACUUCAUAUCAACCAUUACAAAGAUCCAACGACUUAAAAUAUGAUAGAUCAUUAUUACAUCAUAAAGUUUUAUUUUUCUAACUGACGUUACUGUUACCAUUUCCUCAAAGCCUUUCUCCCUUGCUUGUUCUCUUCCCUCUCUAAUCUCUCUCAAUUUUUGCUUCUCAUGAAUAUCUACUACCCAGCAUCAUAAAUUGAAUUUCCUAUUUUUAGUACAAUUUCAAUCAAUUCCCCCAUUGCCAAUUGGUUUUGGAGUGUAACCUCAACUUCCUUCACUUAUGUCCUCAGGCUCUCUCCAGUUUGUAUUGUUUGCUUUUUGGGUUUUGUGUAGGUGAAGGAAGUUGAUAAUUGAGUCUGAGAGCGUUUAUGGUGGCGAGAAAGCUUUGUUUCAAUGGAUGUUCUUUUUUUGCAAUGUCUGUUGAUUUGGCUUCCUCGUUUUUAGAGAGACAGAGUUAAUGGAAGGACUAAUGUUAGUUUAGGGAAGAAAAAAAAAACUAAAUUUCAUAACCGACACGUGGUAUAAAAUGUAGAGAUGCCAUAUUAUGUGAUAUAAAAAUGUGGUAAGACUAAUAUUAUUGUAACCGUAAUCAUAUGAUUCAAACUUGAAACCUCAUUCAACUAAGUGAAGACAACUACCCAAAAAAUCAUAAACUAAUUGACAUAAAAACUAUUUAUUAUAAACAAAUUUUGAAUCCAUAUUUUCUGUUAAAUAUAGAUGUAGGACUAGGGUUAAGUAUUAAGUUGGAUGAUAUUUUUGUCUUUUUACUAUAAUUAUUCUCUCUGCUGCUACGGGAUGGGUUAAGGCCUCCCUUGCUGCUGUGAUUAAGGUGGAUAAGGUGCAUUCUUUUAUCUAUUGGAAACCUCCUCGCCCUGCUCAGUUUAAACUUAAUGUUGAUGGGUCUAGAUGCACUUCCUCUGGAUGUAUUGGGGCUGGGGUUGUGAUUCGUGAUGCUUAUGGGGGCGGAUUGGUGGUUUUUCAGUGCACCUUGGCCACAGACAUAUCUUGGAUGCUGAAAUUUGGGGGUUAUAUUUUGGCCUUAAGCUUGCUGUGACUAAGGGUAUAAGCUGCCUUAUUAUUGAAAUGGAUGCUGCUGUGGUUGCCCAACUAGUCAAGAAUAUUGAUGGUCUGGCUCACCACCCCUUUGCUUUACUGAUUAAUGUUUGCUGUGCUCUCAUGCAACAAUUUGCAAAUAGUUGCACUCUCCUUCAUAUUUACAGAGAAGGAAAUUGUGUGGCUGACGGUUUGGCAAAUUGGAGUUACAACUUAGACCUGGGUAUCCUUUAUUUUAAUGAAGCUCCAAAUGUGUCAUAUCUUAAUUCAUUAGAUUAUUAGAACGAUGGGUAAAUGCACACUAUCUAAAUGCAGAGGCUCAGAAUCCGCCUAGUUUAAACUUUUAAGCUAUUUAUAUAUAUAUAUAUAUUUUAUAGAGAUGGACCAAUCAUAUUGAAUUAAAAAAUAACUAUAGUAUUUAUGAUUCCCUAAACUAUGGAGUAUGAUUAGAGUUCAAAUUUGGUAGAGAACUCCUAAAAUAACUUUUAUGUGUUUUUAGCUAAAUUUUAGACACACAAAACUGACCACAUUAGCCGACCACCUUAUGUGGCAGCUGAUGUGGUCAUGCCAUAUUUUUAUCUCACAUUUCCAUACCACAUAAUGUGGCAUGUCCAUAUCAUAUGCCACAUCAAUUAAAUCAAUAGAGUGUAUUUUAAUUAAGACAAUUAGAAAAAAAAAUACUGGAAUAAAUCAUAAAAGAAAAGAAAAUAUUAAAUACUUUUAAUUGAUGUGGUUAUCCACCUCAGCUGCCACAUAAGAUGGUAUAAGGAUGUAGUAUACAAAUAUAGUAAGAGUAGCAUUAUUCUUUCAAUAUAGUAAUCAUCGUUUAGAGAAAGAGUAAGGCUACACUUACUAUAUUUUUAUACCACAAUCCUAUACUAUAUGAUGUGGCAAUCCACAUAAUUAAGCUGACACGUUAAUAAAUUGUGAUAAAAGGUAUUUAAUAUAUUAUUAAUAAUAAUAAUUAAUAUAAUAUAUUAUUAAUUCAACAAACAAUUUAGGGUUAAGUCUUUAUUUAUUUAUUUAGUUCGCAUAAUAGGGUUAAGCCUUUUAUUGAUGUUCUAUUAUGUUCGUCUCUUUCUCUUGCCAGUUUUUUGGUCGGCUUGUUAAUAAAUCACCUACUGUUUUUUUUUUUUUUUAAAAGAAAAAGAUUUCAUUCAUAAGCCAAAACGGCAUACAAAGACUGACAUUAAUUCAUUAGCCUCAUUAAUACCUUCAUAGGAAAACCACUUAGGAUAAACCCCAAGGUAGGAAAGAGUACCACCUAUGUCAAUGACUAACAAGAGAGUUUGACCCAGACCACAAAAGACAGUUACAAGAACAGAAAAAAAAAUCCAACUAAACACCAACAGAGUGGACUCAACUGUCAAAAGAAGCCUUCUAUGAAAAAAACUCUUAGUCCUUUGACUGCCCAUGAACUGCAAAAACACACCAAGGAUAGAAACCCAAGAGAGCAUACGGAGGAAGAGCACAAAAAAAUAACAAGAGAGGCCCUGAAAAGCACCCCAACUCAACUUAGAACCUGACAAAGAAACUUCUAUGACCAAACAUAGGUCUUCGGGCAGCGCAGAGCAGAGACGAGCUGCAAAGGAGCAACAUAACAAUGGAAAAUGACAGCAAAACAGAACACAUCCCAACAACUACCAUCAGUGUCUGUCGCUGCCAUCAAAACAUAGACAAAACAUUAGCCACCAGGUAUCACAACGCUCCCGAAAAAAGAUCAAAUCCAGCGUCACUACUGCUGCCGUCAUCGAGACAGAGACAACACCAGCCACUUACACCACUGCAAAAACAACUAAAUAAAACAAACAGACCUAGAUCCAAACAUAUCAAGGCUAAAAACCCAAGAUCUAAUUAGAUUUGGGAGGAGAAGAGGAAGGGGAUAGAAGGGCCAGCAAGAGCCCCUAGGAAAGUGGGAAGAGAGGGAGAGAGGAGGAAAUGGAGGGAAAAAGAUGGGAAAAGAGGAGAUGAAGGGAGAUGAUGGGCAGUGGCCACCUCCCAUAGCUUAGGAAAGGGUGGUUGUCGGCAAGGAGAAAGAGGGAGGGUUUUGGCUAGGGUUUACUUUGCUAUCUCUUUUGCGUAGCAAUAAAUCACCUACCGUAGGAGUUGCAUAAAAUCCGAUUGCAAAUCCUAGAACUCCCAAAAUCAGAUCGAAUCGUGGCUUAAUUAGCAUCUAU
rnacentral:lncRNA from 1 species